GCCAUUCAUUUAUUGUUGUUCUAGUAAUAUGGUAAGUACUCUCUCCCUCUUAACACACACACGUUUAUAUUUUAGAUGAUUAUGGUCCUGAUUUAGUGUUAUAAUUUUUUUUUUUUUUUUUUUUUUCCAAUUGGAUGUCUGAUUUUCAUGUAGGUUAUGUUUAUAUAUAUUCUCCUCUUAUAAUUUCUAUUAUGCAAUCAUAUAUAUAUAAUUUCUAUUCUGCAAUCAAGAUUGUUGUUGCUCUGUUUGUUGUAUAUGUUUGAAAUGUGCGUAACAAAAUGUUGCUCUCUUGUGCGUGACAAAAUUAAUUUUUAAAACUCAGUUUUAUCCCACCAACAAAGGCAAAAUUUUCAUAAAGUAGAUACUUAAUUAAUCAAAUGUUUUUUUUUUUAUUUUUUAUUUUUCUUCUUCUUCUUUUGUAAUUAGGUUUGCUUGUUUUUGAAGAGUUCAUGCUUUCUUUAUACGUUGACUGAACUGAAAUCCCAAAUGUUAUCCUACAAUCUUUCCACUAGCAUGGGUUUUCAUACUUAAAAUACUCGGAAUUUGCUGAAGAAAACAUAAUUAAACAGGAUAAAAAACAAAUUUCCAUGCAUGUCCUUUGUUACCUGCUGAAUUUUUUUUUAUAGAACAUUAAUCUGAUCUUAAAACUUAAACAUUGUACUGUUAAUGCCUACCUGUGUAUAGUAGAGAUUCAAUGUCCCUAAAUCCAAAUAAUUCAUGUUCUUUAAAUUUACUAGGACCAUGUGGAAGCAAGUGGCAGUACGUGUGGUGCCUACAGGCUUUUUGUUGGAUUUCACUAGUUAGCUAACUAGCUUGUGCCAAGGUGUGUGAGUUUUCUGGCAGCUGGAGGGUCGUGAAAGCAAGGAGGUUAUGGGAUUAUGUGACAAUGGACGGGCUUACAUGUUACAUGCUUACGGAAGGCUAGGAAAAUAACAUCAUAUUAAAGUCAUUAUGACUUGUUUCCUCACUAUUAAUUCCUUGGAGCUCCCCUACUGCAUUAUGACUGUUAUUUCAACCACAAUUUACCUCAUGAGGCUGAAUGGAUAAAUCAGUACAAAGGAAGAGUGUUCAGUUUAAACGACAAGCCUGUGGUGCAUAAAAUUUGGCUGCCGAAUGAGGAAUGCCCCAGAUUGGCAAUGUCUAGAGCCUUUGGGGACUACUUUAUUAAGGAUUUUGGACUUAUAUCCGUCCCUGAAGUGAGGUGUUGUCACAUAUAACCAGCAGAGACCAAUUUGUUGUGUUGCGAACCGAUGAGUCUUCCCGCUAGGGGCUGGGAAGAGAUAACAACGGGAGCGUCGAUUGCAUGGCUAUCAAGUACAUCAAAUUUGAAUUGGACACAAAAAUGUCGCGAUUCCCUCUCUCCGAUCAGAAACUUCGAAGGCAAAAUUUGUGCGAAAAA